AUAUUUCGGAACUGAGUCUAGUUCCUUCGAUAUCAGUGUAAUCUAAUAAUCAUGAAAUCUGCUGUGUAGGCACACAGCAGAUUUCAUGAUUAUUAGAUUACACUGAUAUCGAAGGAACUAGACUCAGUUCCGAAAUAU